ACAAUGGAGAGUUUGAUCCUGGCUCAGGAUGAACGCUAGCUACAGGCUUAACACAUGCAAGUCGAGGGGAAACGACAUCGAAAGCUUGCUUUUGAUGGGCGUCGACCGGCGCACGGGUGAGUAACGCGUAUCCAACCUGCCCACCACUUGGGGAUAACCUUGCGAAAGUAAGACUAAUACCCAAUGACGUCUCUAGAAGACAUCUGAAAGAGAUUAAAGAUUUAUCGGUGAUGGAUGGGGAUGCGUCUGAUUAGCUUGUUGGCGGGGUAACGGCCCACCAAGGCGACGAUCAGUAGGGGUUCUGAGAGGAAGGUCCCCCACAUUGGAACUGAGACACGGUCCAAACUCCUACGGGAGGCAGCAGUGAGGAAUAUUGGUCAAUGGACGAGAGUCUGAACCAGCCAAGUAGCGU
rnacentral:rRNA from 1 species